rnacentral:lncRNA from 1 species
GAUAUAACAUAAACAAUUUUUUUGUCUCACUGUUGAAAUGGACCAGGAACUACCAGUGAUAUGGUCUGGAGGCUGAUGGUUUUUAACGCUUCUUGCAGGCUUCCUGGUCCUAUUCCAAGUACAUAGAAGCCUUGGAGCGGGAGAGAAUACACCUUAAAAUGCAAGAUGAUCUGGAGAAAAACUCAUCAUCAUUCCUUACAGGUGCUUCAUCUAUGUCCUUCCUAAAGCCUGGAAACUCUGAAAAAUCUACCAUUUCUCCAAAGAGUAGUAUGAUUUUGGAGAAAGACUCAAAUCUUCCCAAGAAAUAGAAAGUGAGUACCCGACUGCCAAGAAGUGUGCUUUGAAAUUUGGAUUCUUAAAAGCUAGUUUUCCUGCUGUCAGUACUGAUGCUCAUUAGUAGCAAGUUAUCCCACUCCAAAUCACGUUUAGCUGAAGCUGCACAGACUCAACAUGAUGGCAAGAUUAUUUUUCACUCCAACCAUGGUUAGUGGACCUAAUGUUGACCAGAUGGAAUUUUGUUGCAAAAUGGUAGUCUCUGAAAUGCGGUUAUCUAAGCUUUCCAGUUAAAAUAUUUUAAAUAAGAGCAUGAGAUGACUGAAGGAAGCUCAGACCCCAUGGAGUUACUGGCAAGGGCCUGAUACAGAGCUAGCAAUAGAUCAUCUCUGCUGAAGCCAAUUAAACAUUAGAAUGGGAGAAAGAAGUGGGACAGCAAAGAGAUCUGCUAAAGACAGAAAAGCAGAUUUUGCUUCAAAGCUUGAAUUCCUAGAUGGAAGAAUCCCCUAGAGGUUUUGUUUUGUUUUUUUAAGCCUAUGCUCAAAUUAGAUGGACUGAAAAGAAUUAAUAGAACUUAGACUAUCGCUCCCCUUCAUCUUCUGCUCCUCCUUUCUCUAGAAUUCUAAUUCAGUACUUCAACACUGCUAUUUUAGGCAAGUUGGUGUCCUGCCCUUGCUAGUCCCUCCUGUGGCACCAUUUUCUGUAUAUGGCUUCAGAGAAAACUUCAGAAUUUCUUCAUCUUCCCUUGUGUUGUCUUUCUGCCCUUUUAUUACUUC